rnacentral:rRNA from 1 species
AGUGAACGCUGGCGGUAGGCCUAACACAUGCAAGUCGAACGGCGGCACAGUAAGAGCUUGCUCUUACGGGUGGCGAGUGGCGGACGGGUGAGGAAUACAUCGGAAUCUACUUUUUCGUGGGGGAUAACGUAGGGAAACUUACGCUAAUACCGCAUACGACCUACGGGUGAAAGCAGGGGAUCUUCGGACCUUGCGCGAUUGAAUGAGCCGAUGUCGGAUUAGCUAGUUGGCGGGGUAAAGGCCCACCAAGGCGACGAUCCGUAGCUGGUCUGAGAGGAUGAUCAGCCACACUGGAACUGAGACACGGUCCAGACUCCUACGGGAGGCAGCAGUGGGGAAUAUUGGACAAUGGGCGCAAGCCUGAUCCAGCCAUACCGCGUGGGUGAAGAAGGCCUUCGGGUUGUAAAGCCCUUUUGUUGGGAAAGAAGAGCAGCAGGUUAAUACCCCGCUGUUCUGACGGUACCCAAAGAAUAAGCACCGGCUAACUUCGUG